UACGAAGGGGGCUAGCGUUGCUCGGAAUUACUGGGCGUAAAGGGCGCGUAGGCGCUUGUCAGUCAGGCGUGAAAGCCCCGGGCUCAACCUGGGAACGGCGCUUGGGACGGCGAGGCUGGAGUUCGGGAGAGGAGAGUGGAAUUCCCAGUGUAGAGGUGAAAUUCGUAGAUAUUGGGAAGAACACCGGUGGCGAAGGCGGCUCUCUGGACCGACACUGACGCUGAGGCGCGAAAGCGUGGGGGGCAAACAGGG
rnacentral:rRNA from 1 species